rnacentral:misc_RNA from 1 species
GAUGAAGAACGCAGCGAAAUGCGAUAAGUAAUGUGAAUUGCAGAAUUCAGUGAAUCAUCGAAUCUUUGAACGCAUCUUGCGCUCCUUGGUAUUCUGAGGAGCAUGCCUGUUUGAGUGUCAUUAAAUUCUCAACUACACUGACUUUGAAUUGGUGUGGCUUGGAUUUGGGGGGAAAAUUGUUGUGGGCUUUUUGUAUAGUCUGCUCCCCUGAAAUUGAUUAGCGGUACCUUUGUGGAACUGUCUACAGGUGUGAUAAUUAUCUACAUCUUAGUCAUCUGCUGGAAUGCUGCUUUCUAAACCUUACUUGUAUUGACAAUCUUGACCUCAAAUCAGGUAGGACUACCCGCUGAACUUAAGCAUAUCAAUAAGCGGAGGA